rnacentral:other from 1 species
GUAUAUCUGCGGUGUACGUUGACCCAAAUAAUUCAACCGACAUAGUGAACACGGGAGUUCGGGUUCAGCAGCGUAGGGCAGGCCUUCUUCGUAUGGAAGCUCCAAGUUGUUGGCAGGACACCCCCCUUGUGAGAGGCGGGUGUGAAUUAGUUGGGGGACGGCAUCGUGGUUAUACA